GACGCGUAAACGUGCCGCGCGCGCGGCGAGAAACUCCGACCGCGAAUUCCCCCGGCGGCGGUCUCACUCGCACGGUGACGUCAUUGGCGCCUAAACGCGUCGCCGUGGGGAUACCCGCCGCGUCUCGCCGCGUUCUCUUCUUCAAGAGUGUCUCCCUCCCAAGAGAGAGAGAUCGGUAGCCGAUCUACCGACGCGACCUCGUUUAUAGCAAAAAUCGUGUACCAGGACGAUCGUCGACGAUCCGUAUGACGCUCGUCCAAACUUUCAAAGUCCAACACUUUCACCUCGAUAUUAUUCCAACGUAGUUUGAUCUACGAUCGAUCGGCACACCUCUCACUCCUCGUGGUCGCUCUCGUACUCGCGUGAUAACACUUGACUACUGUUUCAUUCAUUCGAUCGAUAGCUGGAGAUGAAUGUCGAUUCGAUCCGGAAUGGAUCGCGAGACGCUCCUUGACGAUUCACCGCUCCGAUCGACACUUCCGCAUGUUCUCCAUCCGAGGGUAACGUUCGCGAAUCUCCCGGUUUCGCGAACUCUUCGGUAUCUUGAAAUUUUUAACCGCCGAUGGAAGCCGAGAUACAAGUUUCCCUCGUGUAACGACCGGCGUGACCAAAGUCACGCUUUCCCGCUCUCGAUCGCGAUCGAUCGGAAUUCUCUCGGAUUUUCCUCCUGCUCCUCUUUCUUGCCACGCGCGAAUUCUCCACUAUUAACGAUGUUGCACGCCCGUUACAGUCUCUCCUCGUUCUCUAAAGAUCCCGUGAGUCUUUACUAAAAGAUCGUACACUUGUACACUUUUUCUCACACGCGUCACAUUAUUCUCAAUCGCGAUCUCUUCUCCUGCUCGCGAUCUCGAGUCACUCCCGUCAAUCCUGCUUUGUCUGCCACAGUUGGUGUUGGCGCGCGAAAGUUGACUUUUCUCAACGACGAUCACUUCCAGAUUUCUCCCUUACGUUUUUCCUCUCCAUCCCCCCCCCCCCCUGUGAUCCGUGCGAGUCGCUCCGUUUCACCUGCGUUCACCCGCGUUGCUGUCAACAAGUGUGAUUCCUCGCGAACGCGAACGGUCGACACACACAUACACCCACACACAUACACACACGCACUAUGCGCGAUCCACGGUGUCGCGUUGCGGUGUCGCGCGCCGCACGACGCACCUCCUGACGGCGUUGUUAUUGUUGCGUAACUGACGGGCCCCGUAUAGCUGGCUGGCUCCGCAGCCGCGCCGCGAGACAGAGUGUAUGGAUGAAGUAGUGGUCGGGAGGAGAGAGGCGUGAAGGGGAAGCUAAGAGAAAAGGACGGAGAGAGAGAGAGAGAGAGAGAGAGAGAGAGAGAGAGAGAAGGAAGAGAGGAUCGGGAGGACGAGGGUAGCCCCCGUGGGUGAGCCAGUGGGCGAAUACGCAACGAGAGAGAGAGCGUGCGAGCAGUGCGCCGUCUGGCGUGGUUGGCGACAGUCUACUGCCUUCCGAGAACCACGAGGCGAUUCCGUGUAUCGAACGCGCACCGAGGACCGUCGACGAUGGUAGUAGGGGAGACGGGAUCGGCGCGCGAUUCUCUGGAUUCGAGCGCUCGGCGCCGUUUGCGGCGAGGGUCAAAGGCGCAACGGCGAGCGAGGACGUUUUACUUAAGGUCACUGUGUUAACCGUGCCGCGAGGAUUUCAUUAACGCCUCGAUCGCGACCAGCUGGCGCGCGCGGAUGGAGAAGGAUGAUGUUCUCGGGACACUUAAUAGACCAGACGAACAGCCUCUCUCGGCCGGACGAGGUACUCCGUUCGAUAUGAACGCCUCGAUGAGCGAUUCAGCGUAAAGGGUCAUGCAGCGGAAUACAACGACAAGGAUACAUCUGCGCCCUUCUAAGUUUUCAAGGAGAAAGAGAGGGAUUUCAUUGAAAAGUAAUACCGACCGUAUUGCAUCUAAACUCAAAUGUAUAUAUGCAUUGAAAAUUCUAGUAAUGCACAAA